UGUGAAAGACGCCGAAGGUCGAUUAAUAUUUACUUUAUAGAUGCAAGACGAGUGACAGCAAGUUUGAGGAAUGAAGAGCAAAAGGAUAUAGCAGUCUUUAUAUAAAAAAUAGUUCAGGAAUCCAGUUGGAAAGAAGAGCUUUUCAGUUAAAAGUAUUUCCUGGGAAUUAACAGGAACUUCUAUAAAUGUUUUUCUGGAAUAGUUAUUCAAAAGGGCAGUGAAGUGAAGGAUUACAUUAGACAAAUAUUGCUGAAGUGGUAAAAUCAGACCCAAGAGAUGUACAAAAUUUCUACAAUACAUGUUACAGCUGACUUUAGCUACAUUUUGUACUUAAUCACAUUGACAUUCGUGUGCUUUUAUGUUUUCUUUACAUAAUUACUACAGUUCUAUUAAAAUUCAUAUUUCUA